AGUUGAGCUUUAUUUCAAUUAAUUUGACGUAGUUUGGUUUUCUCAGCAACAAAGUGGAGGGAUGAAUGCAAUCCGUUCAAGAAUGCUAGUGUGAUGAAGAUUUUAUAUACAGUCAGUGAUUGUAAUUUUAACGAUUGACAACAUUCUGUAUGUUGUUAGCAAAUAUCAUGAGUUGGAAAUGUUGAAGUUCACUUAAUUUAAAUCACCAAAUUAUGUAGAAAUUGGGUGUACAAGUUCACAAAUUCAGAAAAUUGGGCAAAAUUUGGAAAAUCUUAGUUAUAAUACCAGAUAAGUCAGCCGUUAAAUGUAUGCUAUUUAGCUGGGAUGAGAAUUUGAAUGAAUAAUCUAGAUAUGUGGUUAAAAAGUA